UACGAAGGGGGCUAGCGUUGUUCGGAUUUACUGGGCGUAAAGCGCACGUAGGCGGAUUGUUAAGUCAGGGGUGAAAUCCUGGAGCUCAACUCCAGAACUGCCUUUGAUACUGGCAAUCUAGAGUCCGGAAGAGGUGAGUGGAACUCCUAGUGUAGAGGUGGAAUUCGUAGAUAUUAGGAAGAACACCAGUGGCGAAGGCGGCCCACUGGUCCGGUACUGACGCUGAGGUGCGAAAGCGUGGGGAGCAAACAGGG
rnacentral:rRNA from 1 species